AGUCCUCUCUCUCAUANUUUCCUCUCCACCCUUCCCCGCUGCGUACUGCCCUCCAAAAAUCGCCUGCGGUGGCGGGCCACCUCCAAACCACCCCAAACCGUACAAUCCCCAGCCCCUCCUCGGUCCAAAUCCACCACCAGUUUCCCUCAAAUCCGUCUCAAACAAUUCGUUUAGUAGAUGUAAGAAAUCACAAACCUGAAUUCAUCCCCUUUUCCAUUUUUCCUCACAUCUCGGACUAUUUGGGGUUAAUACCAACAUCAAUAGACUACUCUCAAUGAGAGCUAUCGAUUGAUGGUAAGUUUAUCUUGUUUCAUGACCAUCGGAAUCUAGUCAAACUCUGGUUGACCGGCCAGUUCCCACCCAUAUCGCCAUGGUGUCAUUUUCUCAGGCUUAGCAAGGGAUAUUAUUGCAUGUAGCACUGGCCGGUGUAAAGCAACUAUGGUGGUUGGCAAUAAUAGCCCCCUGGCUAUUUGUUGCAAAACCAUGAGCAAGCCUGAAGAAACGAGUGGCCAGUGGACAGAAAUGCUCCAUGUGAACUAUCCAUAUGUAAUUCAGCUAUGAUAAACAAUUUCAUGUAGUUCAUGUAUUGUAUUUUAAAAUUAAAGGAUUAUAGAGUUAUGGUUUGGAAUCUAGUACGAUUAUUGGCUAAUUUAGUUUAACCUAAUACACAAUGGGUCAUACUUGCAUUAAUGGCCCAAUAAGGGGUUAAUUAGGUAAGUCUGAUCUUCGGAGGAUAUUGGGCCUUGAAGUUAGCCCAUUUGAACAGGCCUGAACUAAGAAUGUAAUUUUCGUCAUUUGCUAUGUUCGUUAGAUCGUGUAAUUCCUUGUA